rnacentral:rRNA from 1 species
AGAGUUUGAUCAUGGCUCAGAAUCAACGCUGGCGGCGUGCCUAACACAUGCAAGUCGAACGAGAAAGCCUGGUAGUAAUACUAGGUGAGUAAAGUGGCGUACGGGUGAGUAACACGUGGGUAACCUACCUCCGAAUGGGGAAUAACCCUGGGAAACCGGGGCUAAUACCGCAUAACAUCUUAGUACUUCGGUACCGGGAUUGAAACUUGGCAACGAGGUUUGGAGAGGGGCCCGCGGCUGAUUAGCUAGUUGGUGAGGUAACGGCCCACCAAGGCUAUGAUCGGUAGCCGGCCUGAGAGGGCGGACGGCCACACUGGAACUGAAACACGGUCCAGACUCCUACGGGAGGCAGCAGUGGGGAAUUUUGCGCAAUGGGGGAAACCCUGACGCAGCAACGCCGCGUGGAUGAUGAAGCCCCUUGGGGUGUAAAAUCCUUUCGGCAGGGACGAAACCCGCGUAAGCGGGCCGACGGUACCUGAAGAAGAAGCCCCGGCUAACUCCGUGCCAGCAGCCGCGGUAAUACGGGGGGGGCGAGCGUUGUUCGGAAUUAUUGGGCGUAAAGGGAGCGUAGGCGGUGCGGUAAGUCGGGUGUGAAACCUCCAGGCUCAACUUGGAGCUGGCAUCCGAAACUGCCGUGCUAGAGUGUGGGAGGGGAGAGUGGAAUUCCCGGUAGCGGUGAAAUGCGUAGAUAUCGGGAGGAACAUCGGUGGCGAAGGCGGCUCUCUGGACCAUAACUGACGCUGAGGCUCGAAAGCUAGGGGAGCAAACAGGAUUAGAUACCCUAGUAGUCC